rnacentral:rRNA from 1 species
UACGAAGGGGGCUAGCGUUGCUCGGAAUCACUGGGCGUAAAGCGCGCGUAGGCGGCUUUGUAAGUUAGAGGUGAAAGCCCGGAGCUUAACUCCGGAACUGCCUUUAAGACUGCAUCGCUAGAAUUGUGGAGAGGUAAGUGGAAUUCCGAGUGUAGAGGUGAAAUUCGUAGAUAUUCGGAAGAACACCAGUGGCGAAGGCGACUUACUGGACACAUAUUGACGCUGAGGUGCGAAAGCGUGGGGAGCAAACAGGG